CAUCCGGGUCCGCGCAAGGUAGGGUUCCGAACCCGGUCAGGCCUUAACAGGAGCAGCCGUAAGGAGCACCGCUUGUGCCGCGGGUCGCCCGGGUGUCG
rnacentral:SRP_RNA from 1 species